rnacentral:rRNA from 1 species
AGUGAACGCUGGCGGUAGGCCUAACACAUGCAAGUCGAACGGCAGCACAGUAAGAGCUUGCUCUUACGGGUGGCGAGUGGCGGACGGGUGGGGAAUACAUCGGAAUCUACUUUUUCGUGGGGGAUAACGUAGGGAAACUUACGCUAAUACCGCAUACGACCUACGGGUGAAAGCAGGGGAUCUUCGGACCUUGCGCGAUUGAAUGAGCCGAUGUCGGAUUAGCUAGUUGGCGGGGUAAAGGCCCACCAAGGCGACGAUCCGUAGCUGGUCUGAGACGAUGAUCAGCCACACUGGAACUGGGACACGGUCCAGACUCCUACGGGAGGCAGCAGUGGGGAAUAUUGGACAAUGGGCGCAAGCCUGAUCCAGCCAUACCGCGUGGGUGAAGAAGGCCUUCGGGUUGUAAAGCCCUUUUGUUGGGAAAGAAAAGCAGCAGGUUAAUACCCCGCUGUUCCGACGGUACCCAAAGAAUAAGCACCGGCUAACUUCGUG